AACGGCCGUACCAUGCUGAAUAUACCGGUUCUCGUUAGAUCACCGAAGUCAAGCAUCAUUGGGCGCGGUCAGUACUUGGGUGGGUGGCCACCUGGGAACACUGCGUGCCGUU
rnacentral:rRNA from 1 species